AGAAAAUUCACCAAUUAUGGACGUUUCUCCAAAAACGUGUCAAGGGAAAGAGAAAAACAAAAAUGCAUGACUAUGAAUCUAGUCAAGUCAGAAAUUCAAGGCCCUGUCUAAAGACACAUCCUGAAUCAAACCAUAUGAGAAAAAUUACAAGACAAGAACACAUUUCAAAAUGGAGGUAGAGGAAACAACACUUUUGAGUAAAGUGCAACUGAUGAUUGUGCCAACAUGUGCUAACCCACAGCCCGCAACUGAGGCUGAUACUCCCUGGCAGCACUCCAAUCUGGCAAGCCCAGUAGUUCAGUUCCUCAACAUCAACGAGCUUGAUAUGAUUGCAGGGAAGUGGUGCCCCUACGUGCCCUGGAACACCGGAGCAAGAUGGCAUUUGUUAGUGUUCAGAUCCGUUUUAGCACUGAAGAUGUUCCAAGCCCCUUAAAAUCUCUGAGUGGCCAAAGUAGGGAAUUAUGGAUGAAAGUAACACACGUUUAAAGGGGCAUUUGUUACUGACAAGUGUUGGUAAUAAAACAAAGUUCUGGAGAAAGCAAAGGCCAA
rnacentral:antisense_RNA from 1 species